UUACAACCAUGUAUGUAGCUACACUCAUUGUUAAACGGAGCUAAAGUAAGACGUUUUAUAUCUUUAAGUACCUACCAUGAUACCGACACAGACCAGGCAUGCAGCUAUUCCUGUAAAUCCACCAUGGCUACUCCCACCUCCAGAGGUUGAUCUACUAGUGUUGGAGAGACUACAGAAAGAUAGGGAGGGUGUUAAUCCAUCUGGAUACUGUGUAUCAGGAUUUUGUGGCCAUUUACACAGAUGGUUUCAAAGAUCCAAGAACAGGACAUACUGGGUCAGCAUUUGUAGUGCAGGAACGUAUUACAGAUCAUCUGGCUGUAUAUACGGCUGAGCUGAUGGCCAUACUGUUGGCUUUGCAGUGGGUGGCGGAAGUCAAGCCAGACAGAGUAGUUAUUUUCUGUGAUUGAUGUGAGGUGUUGAUGAGUCAGCAGUCCUUUAGCUCAUGUAGCAGACAAUACCUGCUUUAUGAGGUACUACAAACUCAUGGCACUAUUAGACAGAUGGGUAUACAUAUCAGAUUCACUUGGGUCCCAGUCCAUGUGGGGGUGUAGGGGAAUGAGGCAGUUGAUGUUGUGGCUAAACAAGCACUUAGUAGUUGGGAUGUUAUAGUUUCAAUGAGCAAGGCAGAAGCAAAAAGCCUGAUAUUGACAGUGAUGGUGCCACAAUGGCAGGAGCAGUGGAAUAGAGCUAUGAAGGACAGGGAUUUAUUUCAAGUACAGAGGAAAGUCUGGGACGGGAGGACAGCAUGAAGGGGCAGAAGAGAAGGGUGGGACACAACUGAUUGAAUAAGACUUUAAAAGGGAUAGGAAAACAUCCAACAGGAAAGUGUGAUUAUUGCCAGGAAACAGACCGUGGAGCAUGCAUUGCUACAGUGUGGCAGUAUCAGAAGGAAAAGGAGAGGAUGAGAGCUAGUAUGAGGGAGAAGGAGAUACAGGAAAUUCGUUUUAAAAGUAUAUUGAGUAGAACUUCAUUAGUUAUAGUCUCAAAUAAUUUAUAUAUUUUUUAAGAUGAACGGGGCUGGCAGGAUUUAGUUUCUCCCUGUCUCUGGCCCACACUCCAGUACAGUAGGUGGCGGUAAUGCAUCAUGACGAUGAAUUGUGAACCGAAGAUAAACCUUACCGAGGAAGAAGCCCGGGCAUGCGCAAAAAGUGGCGCACCAAGUUCUCGCAUCGAUUUUUCUACAUAGUAUGCUGUCGCCACUCUCUUGCAGUAAUUGUUCUACACAUUUUGAAAAGAAACCAAAAUGUUUCAAAAUAUUACGUAUUUUAUCACUAACAGAUGAGAGGACAGCUUAAGUACUUUUCCCGGACAUUACCCCCUCACUACAGUCCGCAUUUCUGUGUCCAGAUUGUAACAAAACAAGUGCAUGGCAAUGUCAAGGACAAUGACCCAACAUACCUCCAGGCUGUGUAAGGGCUAUUUGACCAAGAAGGAGAGUGAUGGAGUGCUGUAUCAGUUGAGAUAGUUUGGGAUGAGUUGGACCGCAGAGUGAAGGAAAAGCAGCCAACAAGUGCUCAGUAUAUGUGGGAACUCCUCCAAGACUGUUGGAAAAGUAUUCCAGGGGCAGAGGGAAUAAAAUACAUGACUGCACUUAAAUUGCGAAUGGAGGAUGUUUUUCCCAUGUUUCAUUUUGAUGCCAGCCAGGUGAUAUUAGCUAUGCAUCUGGCACUUACCGGCUCUUCAAAUUGCCCAAAAAGCUUGAGAUGUCAAGCGCAAUAGUGACCUACAAGAGAACUGUGUCUGACUACCCUUGUCAGCUGUAGUUUGACUCCUCCCACUGCUUCAAGAAAAACGCUGCAGGUCGACAGGGUUAUCUGUUAUCUUCCAGUGCUCUCUCUUCUCCCAAGACUUCUGCAUCCAGAAGUAUGGCCACCUCAGCCCUUUAAUGCUGUGCUGCUCGGUGAAUCAAUGCUCCAAGACAGGCAAAGCCCCAGUAGCCUGUGGAGAGACCUAACUUAACGACACCUGGAUGACACCAUAUCCAUGAUGGAACCUCUUCAGAGGGCCAGGGUGUAUGGCCCAAUAAUCUUGCCUUCCUGCUGAAGUGUCCAUUCAUUCACUACUUCCCACAAAUCUAAAAGCAUUGGAUUGUUGUUUGCAUAUUUAGAGUGAUAAUUCCCAAGAAGCCGGUGUUUGUUGGAUAUGUUGGCACGGUGUUGUUAGGCCCGAGACCAAAUCGAGGACUGGCAAACCAUGCCAAUAUAUCCAACAAACACCAGCUUUGAGGGCAUUAUCACUUGUACACACACGGGUUACCAACAUAUUCAAAUAAUGAUCGACAUUUUUAAUUAAAAAUGUUAUUCUUAUAAA